GACGGCACUUCAAGAUUCUCCUCUGACCGCCUCUGGUUGAACCUUCAAUUCCUCCUCCUCAAGAGGAGGUUCGAGCAGUGGUGGCUCAGCUUCGAUUCAGUCCUAGGCCCUGAGAUGAUAUCAGGGAAGCCUCUCCCCCCUCCACCUCCCUCCUAUGGUCAAGCCAAAGGGAGGUCAUUCUAAUAAUACACAAGGGCAGCUGGUACCCAGAAUGAUGAUGGAGAUGAAAAUGAAGAUUUUGCUGAUGCUGUUGAGUGACUAUAUAUAUUAAUAAUCUGAGGGCAGCUUGG